rnacentral:rRNA from 1 species
CGGAGGGAUCAUUACUGAGUUACCGCUCUAUAACCCUUUGUGAACAUACCUAACCGUUGCUUCGGCGGGCAGGGGAAGCCUCUCGCGGGCCUCCCCUCCCGGCGCCGGCCCCCACCACGGGGACGGGGCGCCCGCCGGAGGAAACCAAACUCUAUUUACACGACGUCUCUUCUGAGUGGCACAAGCAAAUAAUUAAAACUUUUAACAACGGAUCUCUUGGUUCUGGCAUCGAUGAAGAACGCAGCGAAAUGCGAUAAGUAAUGUGAAUUGCAGAAUUCAGUGAAUCAUCGAAUCUUUGAACGCACAUUGCGCUCGCCAGCAUUCUGGCGAGCAUGCCUGUUCGAGCGUCAUUUCAACCCUCAAGCACCGCUUGGUUUUGGGGCCCCACGGCACACGUGGGCCCUUAAAGGUAGUGGCGGACCCUCCCGGAGCCUCCUUUGCGUAGUAACUAACGUCUCGCACUGGGAUCCGGAGGGACUCUUGCCGUAAAACCCCCCAAUUUUUUACAGGUUGACCUCGGAUCAGGUAGGAAUACCCGCUGAACUUAAGCAUA